AACGAACGCUGGCGGCAUGCCUAACACAUGCAAGUCGAACGAGAUCUUCGGGUCUAGUGGCGCACGGGUGCGUAACGCGUGGGAAUCUGCCCUUUGGUUCGGAAUAACAGUUGGAAACGACUGCUAAUACCGGAUGAUGACGAAAGUCCAAAGAUUUAUCGCCAGAGGAUGAGCCCGCGUAGGAUUAGCUAGUUGGUGUGGUAAAGGCGCACCAAGGCGACGAUCCUUAGCUGGUCUGAGAGGGUGAUCAGCCACACUGGGACUGAGACACGGCCCAGACUCCUACGGGAGGCAGCAGUGGGGAAUAUUGGACAAUGGGCGAAAGCCUGAUCCAGCAAUGCCGCGUGAGUGAUGAAGGCCUUAGGGUUGUAAAGCUCUUUUACCCGGGAUGAUAAUGACAGUACCGGGAGAAUAAGCUCCGGCUAACUCCGUGCCAGCAGCCGCAGUAA
rnacentral:rRNA from 1 species